CUCGCACACGACAACUCCACCGAACCAGACCCAGGCCCACGUGAUGUGCGCGAUCCCGAGCCCCUCACUCCAAUCCGUGGAGACCAGGAGAAUCCCCUCGACCUUCUCGUCCGAUUCCCGAAAACGAAGCUCGAGUUCGUCCCCAGAAUAGAGCGAACGGACCCCACGGAUCUCCUCUGCCUGAAGCCGCUCCGAUGACGAGUUCACCGCCACCGGAGGGGACCACCCACCCGACCUCGUCCCGAAGAUCACCGUCGCCGCCCGAGCUCUAGCAGCACCGCAUAGCCACUGGAGGACGUGCUCGUCGCCACCAAGGACGCCAUCGAGCUGGUUGUUCCCCUCCGUGUCCAGGAGUAUCUACCCCGGGCACCGGAGCGCCCAUAUGCGUUGCCAUCAUUGUUUCCCGGACUGCCAUCGUGUUCUACUCCAAGUUCGACGCCCAGUUCCCCUAUUCACCGAUUGACACUAGAGCAAGCUCCCGACGCACUCCCGGUCUUGCCGGAGCAUGCGAAGCACAACCUCGUUUCCGUUUGUCACCGCCGCUAAGCGAAGACACCUCGUCGCUUAUGAUGUCACCUAGUUCACCGCCCCACGUGCGCCGCAUCCUCCUGUCAUUUCAUUUUUGCUGGGGACCCGUUGUGGCCGUCGCCAACAUCACAACCGAGAGGCCCGCCGCCCUCUUUUUCGCUUCAGAUUUUAUAUGAUGAGUGAGUGAUGCGAUGUAGGGUUACGAUGUCUAUACUUGACAUUUGCCUGAGGUGUUGAUGGACUUCAAGAAGAUUUUAUUUGCUUUUCCGUUGUAUUUUGUUUGUAUGCUAGCCUUGAGCUAUGGAGGUAUGCAAUAUUUUUAAUUCUGGAUCUACGAUGUAAUAUUAUGACAUGUGGUUUAUUUUGAUAUUACAUCGUGUACUGUGUGUGCUAGCUAUUGAUCCAGGGACUAGCACAGUGAGCACAUAGACAUCGAACCUUAUCAGGUUCGGGUCGUUACAAUUGGAUAAGGACGAGGUGACGAUGCGCGUCGGAAAUGUUUCCAAGGUCGAUGUGAUCGCCGUCGGCACGCUACCUCUACAUCUACCUUCAGGGUUAAUUUUAGA